UGGCGUUAGUUGCGAGCCAAUAAGGCAUACACAGCGUACAUUGGCCAUACAUUUAAUUCAUUUCAAGCAAACGGGCUAACACGGUAGCCGGGUAUUAGCGUGAAGAACGCCUCCCAUGCUGAACGACUGAUGCGGGAAACAACAACAAAGCAUUACAACAGGCCUCGCCCUGCUCUUCCCGAUACAUGCUGACAGAGACGGCACUGUAGGGGUCCAGCACUAUGUGGGCACAGCGGAUUAUGGUCACCAGCAAGAAGAGGCAGAGGAGGAGAAAGAAGAAUAAGGCAAAACCCUGAUCGAAAUCCAUGUCCACUUGGGUGACGGGAGCCAGUUGGCGCUCCAUGAAAACGGUGCCUAAAUGUUGACCUUGUUGUUCACUCCAAAGAGUCCGAAUCCAGAGUUCUUGUGUGCACUUCGCAGCAUUGAGACAUGUGUGGACACACGCUUCCCCUAAUUGACACCUGUGACCCACAUUCAUUUUUGAUGGGAUCACGAGGAUAGGCCAUCUACCUUUUCUUGGGCUUUUUAGGACAACGCAGGGGGAGAUAUUGCUGGUAAGAAGAUACCGAGUGAGGAAGAUUUGACUGCCUGUGAGUUUAAACAGGAAAGAGGAAGAAAGAGGAUAUCAAGACGGUCCACUUGAGAGGGACUGGAAACUGACCUGUCCAAUGAGGUGCACAUUACUUCAACUCCUUAAUGCUGUAUACUCACACCAACCUAAAAAGUUUAAAAACAAAUAAAUAACACAUACAGUC